CCUGGAAACAGAUGCUAAUACCGGAUAACAACACUAGACGCAUGUCUAGAGUUUAAAAGAUGGUUCUGCUAUCACUCUUGGAUGGACCUGCGGUGCAUUAGCUAGUUGGUAAGGUAACGGCUUACCAAGGCAAUGAUGCAUAGCCGAGUUGAGAGACUGAUCGGCCACAUUGGGACUGAGACACGGUCCAAACUCCUACGGGAGGCAGCAGC
rnacentral:rRNA from 1 species